AAUUUAAAAAAAAAUUAAAAACACAAUUGUAUGCAAUAACUAAAUCUCCAUCUACACUCGUCUAAUUCUUAUUUAAUUUUCUUUAAGUUCUCUUUGUUUUCUAAGAAAAUCAAAUUAAAUCCCCAAUCCUCUAAAAAUUCUUUUAUCUUUGGGCUUUGAUUGAUAUAACUGAUUGGAGAUUCUGAACGUGACUCAAAAGCCGCGGAAGGUACGGAUCUCGUUAAUUUCUCUCAUCCCCAUCCUCUUUCUCUUCAAUUUUAUUUUUUUGACGAGCACUCAAACUGCUUGCUGCAAUGGACUGGAUUAUUUUGAACCGGUGUAGUGCUUAGCACAAGGUAGUUAUCCAGGAUUUAGAAACAAUCAUGGCCAAGUAAGAAGUAGAACAAGCAUCUGCUGCGUUUAGGAUCACACUGGAAGGAGACUGUAUACCUGCUCUGCUCCUCGCUUCUCAGUCAGAAUACUUGGUGCUCGUUUUUAAUCUCAAUUAAGAGGAAGAGCUACAGAAGUGGGCUCUGAAUGUAUUUUCAAUUGCAAUGAUUAUGCUUUCUGUCCUUGAAAUUCCAUAGUUUAUUAAGAAAAUUGAUGCUUUAAAUCUCAUUUAUAUUCUGUAGCUUGCAAUUUGCAUUGAUAUCUUCAGAGCGAGAGUUAGUUGAGUUUGAUGGUUUGUACCAUCAAAGCAACUGGGUUUUGAGAAAAUAGGAAGUCCAGCUCGUAGGACCUUGCCAUUCUCACAUCAGGUUACCACUGAAACCAGCCUUGAGAAGAUGGGAUUAGAAAUGCUUGAUUCAUGUAAACAGGUAAGAUAGACUACACUAUACAUGUUAGUUGUCUAUACAGGAAAUAACUUUAUAUAGACUAGCUAACUCGGCAUCCCUGAUGUAAUGAUGUAUAUUUCAAGUCUCUGAAUUUGCCAUUUAGAUUUAUGAGGGAUUUUAUUAUUCUACGGCUAAUCACUAACGAUCAAUGGAUAUGCUCUUAAGCUAGUACUGCAAUGUAGUUGAAUUAAAGCAUGUGAAUUUGCUAGGUACUUGUAUUUUUUUAAAAAAAAGUAAGCACAGAUACACAUUAAUUUGUCAAUUGAAUUAAGUCUUUACUUGAACAUGUCAAAUACGGGGUGAUCCUGCUAUUAAAGUAUGCACAUCAACCAUUUGCCUUCAACUAAUUUAUCCUACUGGCAUAUCUUGAGAUUUUGUUAAUGUUGAGUCUCCGUUAUAUUUUCUUUCUUCGUUUUGUUUUUCCUUUUAUUUGUUUUUUAGGGAAUGAUGUGGGGACCCAAAUCCACGUUGCUUUCCUAUGGAUAUGGCCUUUGUAUUGCAUAUGGGCUAAAUUUCUAACAGAAUAUAUAAAAUCCUCGUGCAGACAGUUUUUUGAGCCAACAUAUUUUUUAAGUUUUAAUUUGUUGGGCUUCAGUAAUUAGUGUAAGGCUUUUAAAACGGGCUUUACUUGGUUUGUGAUUAGCUCUCAAGCAUUAUGUAUUGGCUUGAAAGAAAAGAGAGUCACAAAAUGGUUACGACAGGAAUCACUAACAAAACAAAUGUAGAAAGACAAAAGUGUUAUCGAAUUUUUCAGUUUUUGUGAUCUUUCAUACAAAAACUUCAAUUAAUAAAAUGACAUUAAAAUUAGCCAGAUAUAUUCGAAUUGAGCAUGUAAUUUAACUUUGAUCAAGAUUUUGUUUCAUUAAAUUAUAAAAGUGUCCAAUUGAGCAUGUUAUUUUUUCGAGAAAAAUGCAACUGUUGCUGGUAUAAUUGGGGAAGGGUGUAGCACUGGAACGUGGCAAGUAGGCUGAUCAAGAACACACAAGGGAUCUGUAACCAAGAUCAUUCACACAAGCUCUCAUGUCAUGGAAUCAUGGGUUCAUCGCGUGACAAUGACGGCAUUAAAAAGAACUACCGUACACAUAGGAGAUAAGAUAUAGUCUCCACGCCCCCAUUCAAUGGCCCAUCUCCACCGCGAAACAAUAAAGCUGGAAUUAAACGAUGGGGAGCAGCCAUGGCAGCUAAAACGAGUACAGAACCAGCUGUCAAGAUGGGGGCAUCACUCCGGCUUCAGUAAUUCCUGUCACAUGAUAUCUAUGGAGUCCCGGAUCCUGCUCCCGUUGUCCAUCCUCUCUCAACUCUCUCUUCUUUAUUAGCCCCCCGUUUCUCCUGAAAUGCAAUAACUCUGUGCCAUGGAUGUUAGAUUUAUGAAGCUAUCUCUCCAGGACGCAGACUCCUUGCAUUGAUCAAACUAAAUAAUAACCAAAUCAAAUCCAAUCAACCUGAAACAAGUCAUUUCUAUCUCUGGAAUCCCGACUGGACUGCGUUUAGAAGUGCAUUCAAAC